AUUGAACGCUAGCGGCAGGCCUAAUACAUGCAAGUCGAACGGUGUCUUCGGACAUAGUGACGCACGGGUGCGUAACACGUAUGCAACCUACCUUACAUUGGGGGAUAGCCUUUCGAAAGGGAGAUUAAUACCGCAUAAGACAGUAGCUGGGCAUCCAGCAGCUGUUAAAGAUUUAUCGAUGUAAGCUGGGCAUGCGUCCAAUUAGCUAGUUGGUGAGGUAACGGCUCACCAAGGCAAUGAUUGGUAGGGGAACUGAGAGGUCAAUCCCCCACACUGGCACUGGGAUACGGGCCAGACUCCUACGGGAGGCAGCAGUAGGGAAUAUUGGGCAAUGGACGCAAGUCUGACCCAGCCAUGCCGCGUGCAGGAUGAAGGCGUUAUGCGUUGUAAACUGCUUUUAUACAGGAAGAAACGACUCUUGCGAGAGGCAUUGACGGUACUGUAUGAAUAAGCACCGGCUAACUCCGUGCCAGCCGCCGCGGUAAGAC
rnacentral:rRNA from 1 species